ACAUUUCUGUGUGCUGUUAUGCAGAGUAAUGAUGGCAGAUACUGGUGUAGCAGGAGCUUGGCCUGAAGCCCGUGCCUGAUUCUUCUCUGUGUGAGGACUUGGUUCUUGGUUUGGCUGUGGGGAACAAAUUUGGAACUGUCGUCAACUGCAUGACUUCAGUUCAGGCAUGUUCUGCUUAAACGACUCGGCCAACUACGGCUCUCAGUUGUAGUCUUCAUGGUUUUGUUCCUCCAUUCUUGGCACGUCCUUAUCUGCAAAUGAAUGUCAACCUUCCAUUACUAUC